rnacentral:rRNA from 1 species
AGUGAACGCUGGCGGUAGGCCUAACACAUGCAAGUCGAACGGCAGCACAGUAAGAGCUUGCUCUUACGGGUGGCGAGUGGCGGACGGGUGAGGAAUACAUCGGAAUCUACUUUUUCGUGGGGGAUAACGUAGGGAAACUUACGCUAAUACCGCAUACGACCUACGGGUGAAAGCAGGGGAUCUUCGGACCUUGCGCGAUUGAAUGAGACGAUGUCGGAUUAGCUAGUUGGCGGGGUAAAGGCACACCAAGGCGACGAUCCGUAGCUGGCCUGAGAGGAUGAUCGGCCACACUGGAACUGAGACACGGUCCAGACUCCUACGGGAGGCAGCAGUGGGGAAUAUUGGACAAUGGGCGCAAGCCUGAUCCAGCCAUACCGCGUGGGUGAAGAAGGCCUUCGGGUUGUAAAGCCCUUUUGUUGGGAAAGAAAAGCAGCAGGUUAAUACCCCGCUGUUCUGACGGUACCCAAAGAAUAAGCACCGGCUAACUUCGUG